rnacentral:rRNA from 1 species
CCACGGGAGGCAGCAGUUGGGAAUCUUCCGCAAUGGGCGCAAGCCUGACGGAGCGACGCCGCGUGGGUGAAGAAGUCCUUCGGGAUGUAAAGCCCUUUGAGCAGGGAAGAGCAAGGACGGUACCUGCAGAACAAGCCCCGGCUAACUACGUGCCAGCAGCCGCGGUAAAACGUAGGGGGCGAGCGUUGUCCGGAAUCACUGGGCGUAAAGGGCGAGCAGGCGGCUGCCGAAGUCGAAAGUGAAACCCCGGGGCUCAACCCCGGGCCUGCUUUUGAAACCAGGCAGCUGGAGUGCAGGAGAGGUAAGUGAAAUUCCCGGUGUAGGGGUAAAAUGCGUAGAUAUCGGGAGGAACACCAGUGGCGAAAGCGGCUUACGGGCCUGUAACUGACGCUGAGGCGCGAAAGCGGGGGGAGCAAACAGGAUUAGAUACCCUUGUAGU